rnacentral:rRNA from 1 species
UACGGGGGGGGCAAGCGUUGUUCGGAAUUACUGGGCGUAAAGGGCUCGUAGGCGGCCAACUAAGUCGGAUGUGAAAUCCCCAGGCUUAACCUGGGAACUGCAUCCGAUACUGGAUGGCUUGAAUCCGGGAGAGGGAUGUAGAAUUCCAGGUGUAGCGGUGAAAUGCGUAGAUAUCUGGAGGAAUACCGGUGGCGAAGGCGGCAUCCUGGACCAUAACUGACGCUGAGGCGCGAAAGCUAGGGGAGCAAACGGG